UAUUUAUAUCAAAUCGAACCGAAGACAGCUAGUGAGCAAAAUCUUAAUUUCUAGCCGAGGGAGAUCAUGAGCUAGUAAUAGCAGUAAACAUUUUCUCUGUGUCUUUUGGGGACAUGGAGUUUUUUAUUUAUAAA
rfam:Aerococcus christensenii strain CCTG28831, complete genome.